UCCACACUGGGCUAGAAGGGCUUAAUGGGCUCAUUCAGCCUUGUCCAACUACACCUGCAGUAGGCAUUAAGCCUGAAUAGAGGCCCUGCAAGGGCUGAAGCCAGCUAAGGCUGGGGCUGAUAAGGAAGGAGAAGUGAUGGUUAGUUGGCCCUCAGUGAGAGGAGUCUGGCUGGUGCCGCUGUCUGGAGUUGGUCUGCUGGUAGACAGCCUCCCUGGUGGAAGUGUCCAUCUUCGUCCAUUUGGGCCCAAUCUUCAGAUGUGCUGAGAACCUGCAGCUUCUGUUGCUCUAACUGGAGUUGUUAACGAUCAGGAGUACCUACAGACCCAAGGUACUUGUUCAUUUGCAUACAGAUGGAAUGAAGCAUUCAGGAUUUGGAUACAGGAGGAUUCUAGAACUCCAAGGUUCAGGACCUUGAUGAAUUGGCAAACUGAAGAUCUUAGACAGGUUGAGACUCUAACAGGAAGUGAAGAGACCCUGGAGAAGCUGGGAAUUUCAGCAGCAUGGGCUGUACUUAGUACGCUGAAUUAAACAACU